GAUGAACGCUGGCGGCGUGCCUAAUACAUGCAAGUCGAGCGAACAGACGAGGAGCUUGCUCCUCUGACGUUAGCGGCGGACGGGUGAGUAACACGUGGAUAACCUACCUAUAAGACUGGGAUAACUUCGGGAAACCGGAGCUAAUACCGGAUAAUAUAUUGAACCGCAUGGUUCAAUAGUGAAAGACGGUUUUGCUGUCACUUAUAGAUGGAUCCGCGCCGCAUUAGCUAGUUGGUAAGGUAACGGCUUACCAAGGCGACGAUGCGUAGCCGACCUGGUAGGGUGAUCGGCCACACUGGAACUGAGACACGGUCCAGACUCCUACGGGAGGCAGCAGUAGGGAAUCUUCCGCAAUGGGCGAAAGCCUGACGGAGCAACGCCGCGUGAGUGAUGAAGGUCUUCGGAUCGUAAAACUCUGUUAUUAGGGAAGAACAAAUGUGUAAGUAACUAUGCACGUCUUGACGGUACCUAAUCAGAAAGCCACGGCUAACUACGUG
rnacentral:rRNA from 1 species